CUUACUGCUAUAAACCCACUUUUUUUUAUAACUUUGCCUUUUGCAGAGAAGUAAGGACAAGUAAAAGAAAACGUCACUGAGGAAAUCCAAUCACACUCUCCCAAAUGCUCAGUACAGUAUUCCAUAUACAGAAUCUAGCAUGCUGCCACCAGGCUUCCAAUUACCCAUCAAGCCCCAGAGCCUGCCAGAUGUACACAGAUGUACCGAGCCCCUGCAGUAUUCCAUCUGGGAAAGGUGCUGACAGAAAAUCAUUACACCAAGCGAGCAGCCCAGUUGAAAAAUCAAAAUGAUACUUUUGUUUCUCAUUGACUUUCUUCCUGAUUCAUUUUGGGAUUUCUAAAGAGUGGUAUGAUACUGCCUUAGAUUCUUUCCAUUUGUCAGUUAAUCAUAUUGAGCAUUUAACCAUAUGCAGAGCACUGUCCUAAGUGCUUGAGAGAGUACAGUUCAACAACACACACAUUCCCUACGCACAAUGAGCUUACAGUCUAGAGGGGGAGACAGAUAUUAAUAUAAAGAAAAUACAGAUAUGUGCAUUAAUGUCCAUGUCCAUUUCUUCUCUGAUUUCCCAUUAAGCUUUUGUUUCAACUUGAAACAUCUUUGUUAUGUAUUGCCUUUCAUGUGCAGGGACCUUUUUUUUAAUGUGAGCUUGCCCAUCUGACAUUUUUCUGACCUCUUACAAGUCUUAAUUAAGAGAGACAUUUUUAGUCCAGGAGCCGUUUUCCAAAAAGGUUGUGACAGAAGGCAAAGAUCCGGGCGAGGAAAUGUACCUACUCAUCCAGGAUGUCUGAAAAAUUCUUUAAGUGUAUUUUGUUUGAGGAAGCAAAAUGGCAGGAUUAGGGAGUGGAAAUGUCAGGGCUACUUUUAGACUAAUGCUUGUUUGUUCUAACUUAGCUUUGGUUUGGGGAACUUUCACAUGCCAAAGAAGAUGGGCUUAUGGAUACGAGGCCAGAGUUAAAAAGGAGGUCUGAUCUCCUAAGCAUAUUGGAGCUGAUGACAGAUCAAUCAAUCUAUUAAUCAAUGGUAUUUAUUGAGUGUUUACUGUGUGCAGAACACUGUACUAAGGGUGUGGGAAAGUUCAAUACAUCAGAGUUGUUAGGUGCUUUUCCUGCCUAUAAGGAGCUUAUAGUCUAGAGGAGGAGUUUAUAGUCCAGAGGAAGAAUUUAUAAGUCUAGA
rnacentral:lncRNA from 1 species